AGAAUAAAGUAAUAUUCAAGUUCUAGUUUCUCCAAUCUUGUGGUAAAUUGGAGACCAAUAACAAGCAGAAAAUCUGUUUAAACUUUUGGAAGGAUUCUAUAAGUCUGCACUCUCAUAUGGAAAUAGAGAGGGAGAUUGGAUGCUAGUUGGAGAUGUCCCUUUAGGGUCCCUCGGUUCCAAGAAUUGAGAGAAAAACACAAAAAUUAUCCUUGGAACAACCACCGACAGACAUCAAGGAAACUUGAGAAGGUAUCAUUGAACACUCCUUGUUUAUCUUCAGUUUAUUUUUAGUCAUUUUAACCAUUUUGUAAUUCAUUUAUUUCGAUUUCUAUUCUUGUGUGCAACUUAGCAAGUAUAUUGUA